UACGUAGGGUGCGAGCGUUAAUCGGAAUUACUGGGCGUAAAGCGUGCGUAGGCGGUUCUCCAAGUCCGUUGUGAAAUCCCCGGGCUUAACCUGGGAAUGGCAGUGGAAACUAGGGGACUUGAAUCUGGCAGAGGGGGGUGGAAUUCCACGGUGUAGCAGUGAAAUGCGUAGAGAAUGUGGAGGAACACCGAUGGCGAAGGGCAGCCCCCUGGGCUGAGAUUGACGCUGAGUGCACGAAAGCGUGGGGAGCAAACAGGA
rnacentral:rRNA from 1 species